ensembl:misc_RNA Metazoa_SRP Metazoan signal recognition particle RNA
GCUGAGCACAGUGUCAUGCCUGUAGUCCCAGCCACUCAGAAGGCUGUGGCAGGAGGAUCACUUGAGCCCAGGAGUUCUAGGAGGUAGUGCACUAUGUUGAUUGGGCACCUGCACUAAUUUGGGCAUCAAUAUGGUGGACUUCCAUAAGUGGGAACCACUAGGUUGCUUAAGGAGUGGUGAACUGGCCCAAGUUGGAAACAAAGCAAGUCAAAACUCCCAUGCUGAUCACAUGAGAGGUAAAGUGACUAGUCCAAGUUCAUACAGCGAGAUAAGGGUUGAGAUGAAACCAUAUCU